rnacentral:rRNA from 1 species
CGUACGCAGGCGGACUUGUAGGUAUCUUGUGAAAUYCCACGGCUUAACCGUGGAACUGCAGGGUAAACCACAAGUCUUGAGACAUGUAGGGGUCAGUGGAACCAUGAGUGGAGCGGUGAAAUGCGUAGAUAUUCAUGGGAACGCCAAUGGCGAAGGCAGCUGACUGGGCAUGUUCUGACGCUCAGGUACGAAAGCGUGGGUAGCGAACGGGAUUAGAUACCCCGGUAGUCCACGCCGUAAACGAUGCACACUAGGUCGUGGGAUCUCUCAUGAUUUCGCGGCCGAAGGUAAACUGAUUAGUGUGCCGCCUGGGGAGUACGGUCGCAAGGCUAAAACUCAAAGGAAUUGACGGGGGCUCACACAAGCGGUGGAGCAUGUUGCUUAAUUCGAGGCAACGCGAAGAACCUUACCUGGGCUUGACAUGUAUGGAUUAGCUUAUGGAAACAUAAGUGACGCCCUUGGGUGGAACAUACACAGGUGCUGCAUGGCUGUCGUCAGCUCGUGCUGUGAAGUGUCGGGUUAAGUCCCUUAACGAGCGCAACCCCUAUCGUUAGUUACUAACGCGUUAUGGCGAGGACUCUAGCGAGACUGCCGGUGUCAAACCGGAGGAAGGUGGGGAUGACGUCAAGUCCUCAUGGCCUUUAUGCCCAGGGAUGCAAACGUGCUACAAUGGUACGGACAAAGCGAUGCAAUACCGCGAGGUGGAGCAA